AUUGAACGCUGGCGGCAGGUCUAACACAUGCAAGUCGAGCGGAUGAAGGGAGCUUGCUCCUGGAUUCAGCGGCGGACGGGUGAGUAAUGCCUAGGAAUCUGCCUGGUAGUGGGGGAUAACGUCCGGAAACGGGCGCUAAUACCGCAUACGUCCUGAGGGAGAAAGUGGGGGAUCUUCGGACCUCACGCUAUCAGAUGAGCCUAGGUCGGAUUAGCUAGUUGGUGGGGUAAAGGCCUACCAAGGCGACGAUCCGUAACUGGUCUGAGAGGAUGAUCAGUCACACUGGGACUGAGACACGGUCCAGACUCCUACGGGAGGCAGCAGUGGGGAAUAUUGGACAAUGGGCGAAAGCCUGAUCCAGCCAUGCCGCGUGUGUGAAGAAGGUCUUCGGAUUGUAAAGCACUUUAAGUUGGGAGGAAGGGCAGUAAGUUAAUACCUUGCUGUUUUGACGUUACCAACAGAAUAAGCACCGGCUAACUUCGUG
rnacentral:rRNA from 1 species